AAUCAACGCUGGCGGCGUGCCUCAGACAUGCAAGUCGAACGAGAACCUCCCUUCGGGGAGGGGACAGUGGCGCACGGGUGAGUAACACGUGGGUAAUUUACCUUUGGGUGGGGAACAACAGCCGGAAACGGCUGCUAAUACCGCAUAAUGCAGCGGCUCGACAUCGAGACAGUUGUUAAAGCGGGGGAUCGCAAGACCUCGCGCCUGAAGAGAAGCCUGCGGCGGAUUAGCAGUUGGUAGGGUAAUGGCCUACCAAGGCGACGAUCUGUAACCGGCCUGAGAGGGCGGUCGGUCACACUGACACUGACAUACGGGUCAGACUCCUACGGGAGGCAGCAGUCGGGAAUUUUGGGCAAUGGGCGAAAGCCUGACCCAGCAACGCCGCGUGAAGGAUGAAGC
rnacentral:rRNA from 1 species